AUCCAGCUGAUGAGUCCCAAAUAGGACGAAACCAGCGUCCUGGAU
rnacentral:hammerhead_ribozyme from 1 species